rnacentral:misc_RNA from 1 species
GAUGAAGAACGCAGCGAAAUGCGAUAACUAAUGUGAAUUGCAGAAUUCAGUGAAUCAUCGAGUCUUUGAACGCACAUUGCGCCCCCUGGUAUUCCGGGGGGCAUGCCUGUCCGAGCGUCAUUGCUGCCCUCAAGCACGGCUUGUGUGUUGGGCUCCGUCCCCCCGGGGACGGGUCCGAAAGGCAGCGGCGGCACCGAGUCCGGUCCUCGAGCGUAUGGGGCUUUGUCACCCGCUCUGUAGGCCCGGCCGGCGCCAGCCGACAACCAAUCAUCCUUUUUUCAGGUUGACCUCGGAUCAGGUAGGGAUACCCGCUGAACUUAAGCAUAUCAAAAAGCGGAGGA